AAAGGGUAGGGAACUUCCUUCCUGCCCCCUCCGAGUUUUGCCUCUCUCACUGGCAGCAACCCAGCGCUUCCAUUGCUGACCUCUACCGACCUCUACCUGUGGUCCUUCCUCUACUGCAGCAGAGACACUGUUUUCUUCCUUUGUUCUUCCAACCCCAUGGCACAGAAACACUCUCCACUGCGGCCAAGGAUUGCAGGAGAGGUGGCAUCAGUGAUUCAAGACUUCUUUUCCUACCUCUUCAGUGUUUCUUUCAGUGAUCUGAAGUUAAAGCCAGGGGGAAUAUCACAGAAGUGAAGUGCAAUUCUCAUCAUGUCAUAUCAAGAGCACACACUAACAAACAACAUGACUUAUUGCUGAAUAUUGAACUUGAUCACCUGGCUGAGGUAGUGUUUGCCAGAUUUCUCUGUAAAGGUGAAUAAACUGACACUGGAACAUUCAGGAACUUCUUCAUGGUCAUGGUCACCCAGCUAGAGUGUGGAAGCCAGGCUGUCUGAUUCCAGGAUCUGUGUUCUUAAUCCUAUACAUAAGGAAGCCAUAAUGAGUCAACCACUAUUUUUAAGAUUCACAGAUGUUCGGGUCCAAUUCACCAGAAUGCCAAGUUAUACAGGGUUGUGGAAUCAAAAACUGCAAUUAGUAAUAAAAUGUGAUGCUAUCUAGAAUGUUUUUCAUACAUAUAUAUGCUUCUUGGGACUCUCCCUGCAGGUUAAGAGAAAUUGAGAAACGAUGGAGAAUUUAAGUGUUUUAGAUCCUACAUACAUUAGACUUAAAAAUAGUAACUAUGUACAUGAGUAUUUGUAAACUUAAGAAUGAACAUAACAUGAACCAUGUGGCACCUAUAAAAUGAAAAUAAAAUACCUACAAACCAAAUGAGAGCAAUAAAAGAAGCUUUAAGGACUUUCACUUCAGGGAGUCUGAAUUAGAUGCGCUUCUUCCCAUUCCUCCCUCUAAUUACAACAAGCUUGGACGUUACAUACAGAACAAACAGAAGGAGUCUCUGAAAGAUGAAGAGAAGGCAAGUAAGCUACAGACUUCACAAUGUAAGGAAUAAUAUGGUGAGAGACCACAUGGAAAGCCUAGAUUUCAACACCUACCCAGCAUUAAUGAGGUAUUCCUUCCCUUCUUUACUCUCUGGUGUCAAAGAAGCUCCAUGCAGAGUCAGAAUGUUUGGCAUUACUCCUCAGUAGGGAGGCCACCCCCACCACGGUGUUAGUGGAGACCAUGUGAGGACCAGGACUUGUACCCUGCCCAGAAGUAAUGAGUAGACCCCCCUCUACAGGAAGGCCAAAGGGCAACCUAAACUUCUACCUCUCUCUGGCAGUAAUAAAGUAGGGCCUCACUUUUCCCUGCUGAGCAAUGUCAAAAAAAAAAGCCAGCUGAAGUAAAAGCUUAUUUCUUUCUUUCUUUAUACAUAUUUUUGGAGACAGGGUCUUAUUCUGUCACCCACGCUGGAGUACAGUGGCCUCAUCAGGUCUCACUGCAGCCUCAACCUCCUGGGCUCAAGCAAUCCUCCCACCUCAGCCUCUUGAGUAGCUGAGACCACAGAUGUGCACCACCACACAUAGCUAACAUUAACAUUUUUUCUAGAGAUGGGGUCUUCCUGUGUUGCCCAGGCUGGUCUGGAACUCCUGGGCUCAAGUGAUCCUCCCACCUUGACCUCCUGGAGGGCUGGGAUUACAGGUAUGAGUCAUCACUCCAGGCUGAAGCUUUAUAUAAUAACCAGAGUCUCAUAUUACAAAAUGUCAAAGAUUCAGUCAAAAGUUACUUGAUAUCAAUGGACAAGAUCUCAAACUAAAUGAAAAAAAGACAAUUAAUAGAUGCUAACACUGAGAUAACAAAGUUGUUAGAAUCAUCUAACAAAGAUUUUAAAGCAGCUAUAAUAAAAGUGCUACUGCAAGUGAUUAUAAACAUGCUUGAGACAAAUGAAAAAGUGCUAUAAAGCUAAGAAAUAAAAUAUAUAAAUAAGAAUCAAAGAGAAAUUAUAGAACUAAAAGAUACCAUAACUGAAAUGCAAAGCUCCGUGGAUGGACUCAACAACAGAAUGGAAAAGACUGAGGAAAGAAGUAGUUUACAGGAAAUUAGAAUAGACUAGAAAAAAUGAACAAGACCCUGUGCUAAAGAGCAAAUAUUUAUGUCAUUGGAUUCCAGGAAAGAGAAAAGAAUGAAAAAGUACUUAAAUAAUGGCUUAAAAACUUCUCACAUUUUGCAAAGAUUUAAACCUACAAUUUGAGAAGCUGGGUAAACCUUAAACAGGAUAAAUCAAGGACACUCACACCAAGAAACAUAGUAAUUAAACUUCUGAUUAAGGAAGAAAAAGAAAAAUCUGGAAAGCAGCAAGAAAAAAAUGACACACUUUCUAUAUGGUAAAAGCAAUUUGAACAACAGAAGAUUUCUCAUCAGAAACUGUGGGGACCAUGAGGAAGUAACAGAUAUUUUUCAAGUGCUGAAAUAAAUCAACUGUCAAUACAAAAUGCUCUACUCAGUGAAAAUAUCUUUCAGGAAUAAAGGGGAAAUCAGGACACGCACAGACUUUUUUUAAAUUAAGAAUUUAUUGUCAGCUUAUCUCCCUAAAAGAAUGGCUAACAUUCUCCAAACACGAAGGAAAUUGAUAAGGAAUCUUGAAAUUUCAGUUAGAAACAAUGAAUAUGGCAAGCAAAAUGUAGGUCAGUACACUAAGUUUAAUUUCUCCUCUUGAAUUUUCUAAAUUAUGACUUAUGAUUGAAGCAAAAAUCAUAACAUUAUCUGAUGUAUAUGUAGAGGAAAGAUUUAAGACAGUGAUGUUAUAAAUGAGGGGAGUAAAGGAACAUGAGAUAACCACUAAUAUGACAUACCAAUAGACUAUGAUAAAUUAUGUGUCUAAUGUGAUUACUAGAAAAACCAGUUAAAAUAUAAAGAUUGACGGAGUGAAUUUAAAAACAUGACACACUAUAUGCUGUUUAUCAUAAACUCACUUUGAAGAUAAUGCCAUCGUCAGGUUGAAAUCAAAAGGAAUAAAAUAGUGUAUUAUGUAAACCAUCAAAAAGAGCAGGAAUGGCCAUAUUAAUAACAUUAAAGUCAGCUUCAGAACUAAGGAAAUUAUCAGAGAGGGACAUUAUAUAAUGAAAUAGUCGAUUUACCAAAAGAACAUAGCAAUCAUAAAUGUGCAUGAAGCAAACAACAAAGCUGGAAAAUAUAUGAAGUGAAACUGAUAGAUCUAAAAGGAGAAACAGAUAAAUCCAUUCAUUAUAGUUGGGGCCUUUAUCACCCCUCACUCAACAAUUGAUAGAACUGGACAGAAAACCAGUAAGAAUAUAAAAGAACUCAACAACAUGAGACAAUAGGAUCUAGUUGAUAUUUAUAGAACAUUCCAACAGCAGAAUACAUGUUCUUCAAGUGCUCACAGAACACACAUAUAAAGAUAGACCCUGAGCAUAAAACAAGCCUCAACAAAUUUAAAAGAACUGAAAUACUACAAGUACUUUCUCCAACCACAAAAGAACCAAACUAGAAAUAAAUAACAAUGAUAAUGGGAAAAUCACCAAACACUUGAAAACUGAACAACAAUAUUUUAUAACCCAUGGUCAUAGAGGAAAUCUCAAAAGAAAUUUUAAAAAUGCACUGAACUGAAUGAAAAUGAAAACAACAUAAAAUUUGUGAGACACAUAAAGCAGAACUGAUGGGAAAAUAUAUAGCACUAAAUGCAUGCUCUAGAAAAGAAAAGUCUUCAACCAGUAACCUAAGCUUCCACCUCAAAAACCUAAAAAAAGAAGGAAAAAUAGACCCAAUGCCAGCAGAAAGAUGCAAUAACAAAGAGUAGAACUCAAUGAAAUUGAAAACAGAUAAACACUUUAAAGAAUAAAACAAAGAGCUGGUUAUUAGAAAAGAUCAAUUAAUUGAUAAACCUCAAGCAAGACCGUCAAAAAAAAAAAAAAAAGGACUUACCUAUACCAGAGAUGAAAUGGGAUAUCGCUAUCAAUACUGCAAACAUCAAAAGGAUAAGUAGAUACUAUGAACUGUACACACAUUAAUCUGACAAUUUAGACAAAAUAGAUCAUUUCCCUAGAAAACACAAACUACUACAGCUUACCCAAUAUAAAAUAGAUUAUUUGAAUAGCCUUAUAAGUACUAAAAAAAAAUUAAUUAAACUCAUUAUUUAAAAAUUCCUAAAAAGAAAGCCUCCAGAGCCAAAUUGUUUCCUUCAGAAUUCCACCACAUUCAUAAAGAUUUGACAGCAAUUCUAUACAGUCUCUUUGAGAAAAUAGAAGGGGGUAUUUUCUAAUUCAUUUUAAGGAGCUAGUAAAUACCCUGAUACUGAAAUGUAUACUGCAAAUUGAUAAAAUUAUAGACCCCUGCAUAUUAAAUUUCAAAAUAAAAAUGAUAAAAAUACUUGGGUAAUGAAUAACAGCAUAACAAAAAACCACAGACCAAUAUCUCAUGAACAUAGACACAAAAAAUGCUUCACAAUAUGACAUAGAAUUCAGUAAUACAUGAGAAUUAUAUACCACAACCCAGUAAGACUUAAUCCAAGAAUGGAAGACUGGCUCAAUAUUUAAAAAUCAAUCGAUGUAGUGCAAAUAUUAAUAGCUAAUGAAGAAAUGUCAUAAAAUUAAUGCAGAAAAAGGAUUUGACAAAAUUCAACACUCAUUUAUGUAAAAAUGCUCUGAAAAAUAGGAAUUAAAGGACACCUACAAGAAACUUUCAGCUAACAUAAUUCUUAAUGCUGAAUGAUUGAAUGUUUUCUUCCUGAGCUUGAGAAUAAGGUGAGGGUAUCAUCCCUAAUGACGCUUAUUCAACAUAGUGCUCAAAGUUCUAUGAAGUGCAAUUAGGCAAUAAAGGGAAAUAAAAGACAGGUAAAAGAAGAAAUUAAAUUUUAUUUGAAAAAGCUGAUUGUCUACCUAGAAAAUCUCAAGGAAAACACUAUUAAUAUACAGAACAACCUGAAUGAAUCUUUGGAGAAUUACGCUGCAUCAGAAAAAGCCAAUCACAAAAGAUUACAUACUAUGUAAUUCCAUUUGUAUAACAUUUUGAACUGACAAAAGUAUAGAAAUGAACAGAUUAGUGGUUGUUAGGGGUGAGGGGUUAUGGGUCAGAGAUAGGAGUUGGGGAUAUAAAAAGGCAACCUGAGGGAUCCUUAUGGUGAUUGAAACAUUCUGUAUGUUGGUUCUAUCAAUGUCAAUACUCUGGUUGGACUAUGGUUCCACAGUUUUGCAAGAUGUUAUUGAGGAAAACGGCAUAAAUGGUGCCCAGGAUCUCUCUAUUGUUUCUUACUGAUUAUGUAUCUGCAAUGAUUGCAAAAUAAAAAGGUUUAAUUUUUAAAAAGGAUUAAACAUUACAUAGCAUACACUUGAGUAAAAGACAAAAUCUGGCUAAGGAUUAUUUUUGUCCUAAGUAAUAUGUGGAUUUUGUACAACAUAAAUCACAAUCCCCUAAAAUCUAUAUUGUAAAUUGAUAAAAUGUAAAACCUGUGUAUUACAGAAUAAAAGAUGAACAAAAAUUACAAAACACUAAGAAAUACCCUAGUGCCCCAAUGUAUCAGUAGACAAACACAUGGACAGAUAGUUUGCAAAAGGGGAAGUACAUAUGGUGAAUAAACAUUAUGAGAUGUCUAAUAUUGUUAGCUAUCAAUGAAACAUGAAAUAAAAUGAUGACAUUGCACACAUCUCAAGUCUCUGGCAGAGCACAGACCAAACUGAAAUUUCCCACUUCACCUGGAAUUUAACUUGCUUAAUCAUUUUUCCUCAAUCUAAGUAAAUUCGUAACUAUUCUUUCUAAAUACAUUCACUAGAAUAAUCG
rnacentral:lncRNA from 10 species